rnacentral:rRNA from 1 species
ACAUACCUACGGGACGCAGCAGUAGGGAAUCUUCGGCAAUGGGGGCAACCCUGACCGAGCAACGCCGCGUGAGUGAAGAAGGUUUUCGGAUCGUAAAGCUCUGUUGUGAGAGAAGAACGUGUGUGAGAGUGGAAAGUUCACACAGUGACGGUAACUUACCAGAAAGGGACGGCUAACUACGCGCCAGCAGCCGCGGUAAUACGUAGGUCCCGAGCGUUAUCCGGAUUUAUUGGGCGUAAAGCGAGCGCAGGCGGUUGGCUAAGUCUGAAGUUUAAGGCGGUGGCUCAACCAUAGUAUGCUUUGGG